UACAGAGGUCUCAAGCGUUGUUCGGAUUCAUUGGGCGUAAAGGGUGCGUAGGCGGCGCGGUAAGUCGGGUGUGAAAUCUUGGAGCUUAACUCCGAAACUGCAUUCGAUACUGCCGUGCUUGAGGACUGGAGAGGAGACUGGAAUUCAUGGUGUAGCAGUGAAAUGCGUAGAGAUCAUGAGGAAGACCAGUGGCGAAGGCGAGUCCCUGGACAACGACUGACACUGAGGCACGAAAGCUAGGGGAGCAAACAGG
rnacentral:rRNA from 1 species